rnacentral:snRNA from 1 species
AAAUGUUGCAAAUCUUUUAGAAUUUGUCUAGCAGGUUUUCAAGUUUUCACUAGAAAACUCCC